rnacentral:rRNA from 1 species
GCUGAAGCGACAAAUGCCCUGCUUCCAGGAAAAGCCUCUAAGCAUCAGGUAACAUCAAAUCGUACCCCAAACCGACACAGGUGGUCAGGUAGAGAAUACCAAGGCGCUUGAGAGAACUCGGGUGAAGGAACUAGGCAAAAUGGUGCCGUAACUUCGGGAGAAGGCACGCUGAUAUGUAGGUGAAGCGACUUGCUCGUGGAGCUGAAAUCAGUCGAAGAUACCAGCUGGCUGCAACUGUUUAUUAAAAACACAGCACUGUGCAAACACGAAAGUGGACGUAUACGGUGUGACGCCUGCCCGGUGCCGGAAGGUUAAUUGAUGGGGUUAGCGGUAACGCGAAGCUCUUGAUCGAAGCCCCGGUAAACGGCGGCCGUAACUAUAACGGUCCUAAGGUAGCGAAAUUCCUUGUCGGGUAAGUUCCGACCUGCACGAAUGGCGUAAUGAUGGCCAGGCUGUCUCCACCCGAGACUCAGUGAAAUUGAACUCGCUGUGAAGAUGCAGUGUACCCGCGGCAAGACGGAAAGACCCCGUGAACCUUUACUAUAGCUUGACACUGAACAUUGAGCCUUGAUGUGUAGGAUAGGUGGGAGGCUUUGAAGUGUGGACGCCAGUCUGCAUGGAGCCGACCUUGAAAUACCACCCUUUAAUGUUUGAUGUUCUAACGUGGGCCCCUUACCGGGGUUGCGGACAGUGUCUGGUGGGUAGUUUGACUGGGGCGGUCUCCUCCUAAAGAGUAACGGAGGAGCACGAAGGUUGGCUAAUCCUGGUCGGACAUCAGGAGGUUAGUGCAAUGGCAUAAGCCAGCUUGACUGCGAGCGUGACGGCGCGAGCAGGUGCGAAAGCAGGUCAUAGUGAUCCGGUGGUUCUGAAUGGAAGGGCCAUCGCUCAACGGAUAAAAGGUACUCCGGGGAUAACAGGCUGAUACCGCCCAAGAGUUCAUAUCGACGGCGGUGUUUGGCACCUCGAUGUCGGCUCAUCACAUCCUGGGGCUGAAGUAGGUCCCAAGGGUAUGGCUGUUCGCCAUUUAAAGUGGUACGCGAGCUGGGUUUAGAACGUCGUGAGACAGUUCGGUCCCUAUCUGCCGUGGGCGCUGGAGAACUGAGGGGGGCUGCUCCUAGUACGAGAGGACCGGAGUGGACGCAUCACUGGUGUUCGGGUUGUCAUGCCAAUGGCACUGCCCGGUAGCUAAAUGCGGAAGAGAUAAGUGCUGAAAGCAUCUAAGCACGAAACUUGCCCCGAGAUGAGUUCUCCCUGACUCCUUGAGAGUCCUGAAGGAACGUUGAAGACGACGACGUUGAUAGGCCGGGUGUGUAAGCGCAGCGAUGCGUUGAGCUAACCGGUACUAAUGAACCGUGAGGCUUAACCUUACAACGCCGAAG